AGGUGUGGUAUAUGCACUACUUAUAGGAAAGAAAAGACAAGUGUUAAUUUUCAUUGCACUCUUUUAUCAUUUGAUUAUACACCAUGUUUCCUUUAAAUUCAGAGCACUAGGGACACUUAUGACUAAUUCUCUUUGAUCUAUUUGAUAAGAAUGUCCUCUGCGGUUUUCUCUCGACGCUGAAUGACUGUGAAUUGUGGGCACCAUGCUGGUAGGCAUGGCAACAUAGUCAUGGCACAAGCCAUGUUUGACAGGACAUGUGUAUGAUAUUGUGCAACAUGAUGGAUUCACCGUCUCUAUUUUCAAUUGCAGGGAGGAGAGCAUUGCUAUUAUCAGGGCCAAAUCCGAGGAAACUCAGAAUCAUUUGUUGCCUUGUCAACAUGCCAUGGACUUCAUGGGAUGUUCUAUGAUGGGAAUCAUACUUAUCUUAUUGAACCAGAAGAAAGCUACACUUCACACGAGGAUUUCCAUUUCCACUCUGUUUACAAAUCCAGGUUAUUUGAAUUUCCUUUGGAUGACCUGCCAUCUGG